rnacentral:rRNA from 1 species
UACACUCCGCGGGAGGCAGCAGUGGGGAAUAUUGGACAAUGGGCGCAAGCCUGAUCCAGCCAUGCCGCGUGAGUGAUGAAGGCCCUAGGGUUGUAAAGCUCUUUCACCGGUGAAGAUAAUGACGGUAACCGGAGAAGAAGCCCCGGCUAACUUCGUGCCAGCAGCCGCGGUAAUACGAAGGGGGCUAGCGUUGUUCGGAUUUACUGGGCGUAAAGCGCACGUAGGCGGACUAUUAAGUCAGGGGUGAAAUCCCGGGGCUCAACCCCGGAACUGCCUUUGAUACUGGUAGUCUUGAGUUCGAGAGAGGUGAGUGGAAUUCCGAGUGUAGAGGUGAAAUUCGUAGAUAUUCGGAGGAACACCAGUGGCGAAGGCGGCUCACUGGCUCGAUACUGACGCUGAGGUGCGAAAGCGUGGGGAGCAAACAGGAUUAGAAACCCCAGUAGUCCCAUGA